rnacentral:rRNA from 1 species
AUGGGUGACAGCCAAGACGCUGGAUGGCGCCUCGUCCGACCGCCUUAUUGGUGGAGGGAGGGCCGCUCCAACCACCAGCAUUCGCGUCGUAUGUCUGCGUCUUCAUUUUCCCUCCCGAGGCAGAGGGAUUUCAUCAAGCACAAGGAUCGCUCUUGCCACCGCUGCCUGCUCAAGGGACACUGCAAGGCCAAUUGCCGGAACCCGUUCACCUGUCUACGCUGUCGGCAGAUCGGGCACCGGGCUCGGGGCUGCACAAAUCCUCCAUCGCCAUCCUCGGUGCCUCGCUCUGCAUCUUCCUUAGAUGGCCAGACCCGUCCUCGCGUCAGACAGGAGUAG